rnacentral:lncRNA from 1 species
UCUUUAUGACCUCUACUAGGAUCUCUUUAGAAACUCUUUCCCAAAAGAUCUCACCACAUACAAAUUAGAUUUUAUAUUCAACACACGAAUAAUCUGAUUUUUGGACAAGCAUCUCAUGCUUUCCAUUUUCUUUCUUCCCUUUCUUUCUAUUUUUUUCUCCCUUUUUUCUUUAUCUUUAUCCCAAAUUUUUUUCUCUUUUUUCUCUUAUUCCCACACCUAAUCUCAGCUAAAAUUGGCAUGUUGGACCAAGGUGUAGCACCCCCUUUAAAAU